CAGCUYCAAUAGCGUAUAUUAAAGUUGUUGCCGUUAAAAAGCUCGUAGUUGAACUUCCACGGGGCCCACGCGGUCUGCCUCACGGCAAGUACUGUGUGGGUCCGUGCUCCCUUGGUGGUGAGCCUCGAUGCCGUUCGUUCGGUGUCUUGGUGAACCACCUCUGUUACCUUGAGAAAAUUAGAGUGUUCAAAGCAGGCAAAUGCCCGAAUACAUUAGCAUGGAAUAACGAAAUAGGACGUGCGGUUCUAUUUUGUUGGUUUCUAGAGUCGCCGUAAUGAUUAAUAGGGAUAGUUGGGGGCAUUAGUAUUCAGUUGCUAGAGGUGAAAUUCUUGGAUUUACUGAAGACUAACUACUGCGAAAGCAUUUGCCAAGGAUGUUUUCAUUAAUCAAGAACGAAGGUUAGGGGAUCGAAAACGAUCAGAUACCGUUGUAGUCUUAACAGUAAACUAUGCCGACUAGGGAUCGGGCGACCUCAAUUUGAUGUGUCGCUCGGCACCUUACGAGAAAUGCAAAGUCUUUGGGUUCGGGGGGGAGUAUGGUCGCAAGGCUGAAACUUAAAGGAAUUGACGGAAGGGCACCACCAGGAGUGGAGCCUCGCUA
rnacentral:rRNA from 1 species